GGUUUGUAGCUCAGUGGUAGAGCACUUGCCUAGCAUGUGUGAGGCUCUGGGUUAGAUCCCCAUCACCA
rnacentral:tRNA from 1 species